rnacentral:rRNA from 1 species
UACGUAGGGGGCAAGCGUUGUCCGGAAUCAUUGGGCGUAAAGCGCGCGUAGGCGGCCCGGUAAGUCCGUUGUGAAAGUCAAAGGCUCAACCUUUGAACGCCGAUGGAUACUGCCGGGCUAGAGUCCGGAAGAGGCGAGUGGAAUUCCUGGUGUAGCGGUGGAAUGCGCAGAUAUCAGGAGGAACACCAAUAGCGAAGGCAGCUCGCUGGGACGGUAACUGACGCUGGAGGCGCGAAAGCGUGGGGAGCGAACAGG